GAGGUUCAUGUCGAAGCCGAUGGUCCAGACGGAGGGGCGGUGCUCCAUGGCGAAGGUGACGACGAUGGCCUGCAGGGUGCCGACGAAGCAGAUGAGGGUGGUGAGGGAGAGCGGCGCCGCGUACUGCUUCAGGGUGUGCGCCUGGAGGAUGAAGAGGGAGGCCCAGGCGAGGGUGGCGAUGAUGACGAAGAGCGAGCCCAGGAACCACUCCCGGCCGCUGGGGUCGAUGGCGGCGGCGACGGCAGCGGGCGCCUCGGCGCCGUGGCCUUGCGCGUGGCCGUGGCCGCUGGUCCACGCCAUCUUCAUCAGCGGGCCCUUGUACAGCGUCAUCAUCAUCGCGCCGGCCACGG
rnacentral:lncRNA from 1 species